AUUACAGAACAAUAAAUAUGUUUGGUUAAUUUGCUAGUUGAGAUUGGAUUGUAUAGCUACUCAGUAGCAAAUAAGGAGUUUGAAGAAUAAAAGGUAGAAAAAGGACUUCUAUAGCAGAGUUUGGGGCGAGGAACUAAAAGAAGAAUAGGACUUCAAUAUCCAGGCUCUAAAAUCAUGAAUAUAGGGAUGAGAGGAGAAAAGUAUAAGGGAGAGAGGUAAAAGAAGCUUGUUAAAGGAAGUACAUAUACACUG
rnacentral:misc_RNA from 1 species